rnacentral:rRNA from 1 species
UGGGGAAUAUUGCACAAUGGGGGGAACCCUGAUGCAGCGACGCCGCGUGAGUGAAGAAGUAUUUCGGUAUGUAAAGCUCUAUCAGCAGGGAAGAAAAUGACGGUACCUGACUAAGAAGCCCCGGCUAACUACGUGCCAGCAGCCGCGGUAAUACGUAGGGGGCAAGCGUUAUCCGGAUUUACUGGGUGUAAAGGGAGCGCAGACGGCUGUGCAAGUCUGGAGUGAAAGGCGGGGGCCCAACCCCCGGACUGCUCUGGAAACUGUAAAGCUGGAGUGCAGGAGAGGUAAGCGGAAUUCCUAGUG